rnacentral:lncRNA from 1 species
AUGUUUUUUUCUUUGUUGGCUUUGGCCGAACCCCACUUAGGAAGUGUUUGGCCUAAUUUUUAAAAAGCGCUUUUAGAUUGAAAAGUGAUUUUUGGCAUAAUAGAGCGUUUGGCAACCUCACUUUUAAAAUCUAAUUCUUAGAAUUAGAAAACUGAUUUUGAAAGCCCCAGAAAAAAAAUUGCUUCUUGAAAUCUGAUUCUGAUUUUGAUCUCAAACUUCAAAUUUUUAUUUUAAUUUUAAAUUCAAUAUUAAAAUUUAAAUUUAAUUUUAAAUUUUAAUUUUCAUAUUUAAUUUUGAAUUCUUUAAUCUUGAUUUUUAAUUUUUAAAUUUUGAAAAAU